rnacentral:rRNA from 1 species
AUUGAACGCUGGCGGCAGGCUUAACACAUGCAAGUCGAGCGGAUGAAGGGAGCUUGCUCCUGGAUUCAGCGGCGGACGGGUGAGUAAUGCCUAGGAAUCUGCCUGGUAGUGGGGGAUAACGUCCGGAAACGGGCGCUAAUACCGCAUACGUCCUGAGGGAGAAAGUGGGGGAUCUUCGGACCUCACGCUAUCAGAUGAGCCUAGGUCGGAUUAGCUAGUUGGUGGGGUAAAGGCCUACCAAGGCGACGAUCCGUAACUGGUCUGAGAGGAUGAUCAGUCACACGGGAACUGAGACACGGUCCAGACUCCUACGGGAGGCAGCAGUGGGGAAUAUUGGACAAUGGGCGAAAGCCUGAUCCAGCCAUGCCGCGUGUGUGAAGAAGGUCUUCGGAUUGUAAAGCACUUUAAGUUGGGAGGAAGGGCAGUAAGUUAAUACCUUGCUGUUUUGACGUUACCAACAGAAUAAGCACCGGCUAACUUCGUG